AGAGAAAGAGAGAGUCUUUGGAGAGUUGUGAGGAGAUAAGUGACAUAAACUGGCAUGUUCUGAAAGAAUCACUCUGGAUGCUGUGUGGAGAAAACACUGAAAAGAAUUCUAGAGUGAAAGUUUCAUGAAUAUAAGAAGCAAGACAAGGAAGUGGCUUAUGCUUAAGGCCUUAAAGGCAACCACUGUGACAAUCCAGCCAUUCUCUGGAGAAUUCAGCAGAAAGCCAGUUGGAAUCUUUAUAGGGGGAGAAUAAUUGACUCCAUUCAAGUGUUCGCUCCUGUUUCAAUCAACUAUGGCUGAAGAGUGAGGAGACAUUUGGAAUAAAUAUGGCUUCUGGGGGCCCAUUCCUAUGGAUCAGCAGCUGGCUUCUGGAGGCCCAUUCCUGUGAAUCGUCGAUCUCAUAGAAGAUAAUAUUGUUAGAAGGCUUACCUCAUUGAUGCUGAACAUCCUAAAAAGCUUCUGCUGCUUUGAGUCACUGAAAAAGACCAAGAAACAUGAAUUUAAAAAAAAAUUUCAAAUGUUAUAAAAUAAAUAAUAUGAACUCAUUAUACCUACAAUGAAUAAUUUAAAUUCUUCUUUGGUAGUCCAGGUUUAGAAACUAUGAAAACCCUAGAAGAAAACCUAGGCAAUGCCAUUCAGGACAUAGGCACGGACAAAGAUUUCAUGACGAAGACGCCAAAAACAACUGCAACAAAAGCAAAAAUUGACAGAUGGGAUCUCAUUAAACUAAAGAGCUUCCAUACAGCAAAAGAAGCUACCAUGAGAGUGAACAGACAACCUAUAGAAAGGGAGAAAAAUUUUGCAAUCUGUUCAUCUGACAAAGGUCUAAUAUCCAGCAUCUACAAGGAACUUAAAUAAAUUUACAAGAAAAAAACAAACCCAUUAGAAAAUGGGCAAAGGACAUGAAAAGAUACUUCUCAAAAGACAUACAUGUGGCCAACAAUCAUACAAAAAAAACCUCAACAUCACUGAUGAUUAGAAAAAUGCUAAUCAAAACCACAACGAGAUACCAUCUCAUACCUGUCAGAAUGGCUAUUAAUAAAAAGUUAAAAAACAACA
rnacentral:lncRNA from 1 species